UUAUUUUAGGUGCUUUUCUUUUAUAAAUAAUACUGUUAAAAGGACUUAAUAAUACUGUUGAAAAGGACUUUUCCCCAUGGCCUGCAACGGGUGUUGCGGGUUAGGAGCGAUUUUUAGCCUUCAGAAAGUUCCAGGCCCAAUCCUCUUGGUUCAGCAGUGAGCUCAAAACCAGGGAGCUGAAACUGUUGACCGCACCUGCCAGCAAAGGGCAAGAGCAGAAAGCUGCAAUGCUCAUUGUGAGUUAUGGCAUCAUUCACCCCAACCUGGUGUGCUGAAACCAACAACAGUGGGAUGGAGACCCUGCACACCAGAUUCAACGAGAGGUCCCCACAACGGCGGAAAUGCUGUUUUGGUCUCAAUUUCUAUU